rnacentral:lncRNA from 1 species
CAAGAAGAGAUGGGGUCCAUCAGAAUAAGGAAGAACUGGACUUACCGGGAAAGUAUGGAGAGAAAUAUCUUUUAAAUUUUUAUAAGGAAAACAGAAGUAUUUCAGUGUUCAUAAGUGAUUUGAAUUGGUCCUCUGCUUGUUUUAUCCUCUUAUUUGGGCAAGUAUCAGCUGCCAGCAUUGUCAUUUGUGCCUUUAGAUCAACUAGCAGAUCAGCAAUCCCCCAAAAGAGGAAAAGCUGUGUCUUAGUGUGUAGAAACAAAUCCUUAAUUCAAUCAUCAUUUUUUGGAUAGUGACAUAGAUAUAUUUGUGUGGUGUUGGUUACUGGCAUGUUGUUUUUAAGCCAAUAGUUAAGUGAUGCUCCUUUAAACAGAAUAUGAAUUCCUUUGCAAGUAUUUGAAAAAGACUAGAUGCCCUUUAUAGAAACAGCAUUUUAUUCCUCCAGAGGAAAGUCAGUUCACAAAAUUAUUAAGCCUAGUGAUUAAUUAUUUUUUAGCCCUUCACUGUCUUUGGUACUCCUCUUGAUUUUUAAAAUGGUUGAUGACAGAUACUCCACAGAAUCCUUAGAAUUCUACUGAUUUGAUUAUUACUUGCCAUCUUUACUCCAUACAGAAGGAAUAUGUGGAUUAAACACAAAGGCAGCUCCAAAAUUACUUUAUUCACUGAAGCAGAACAUCAUUAUUACUUCAAGAAAAGCAAACUGAAGAAAUAAAACUCUAAAAGUACAAAGUUAUUUAUAGAUUGUGUGUAACAUUGGACAUUUAGUAAUGCAGCUUAAUGGGUUUAGUGCAGUGACUUUCCACUCAUUUCAUGAUUUGAUUGGAAC